GGGCCAGUAGCUCAGUCGGUUAGAGCGCAGUGCUGAUAACGCUGAGGCCGAUGGUUCGAUUCCAUCCUGGCCCA
rnacentral:tRNA from 1 species